AGCCGAUGAUGAGUUGUUUUAAUUUCUGACACCUCGUAUGAAAACUGCAUGUGCAGCCUGAUUACAUUACAAGGCUGAGGCUU